AAACCAACAGGGAUUGCCCUAGUAACGGCGAGUGAAGCGGCAAAAGCUCAAAUUUGAAAUCUGGCUCUUUCAGAGUCCGAGUUGUAAUUUGUAGAGGAUAUUUCGGACACCGCCCCAGGUUAAAUUUCUUGGAACAGAAUGUCAUAGAGGGUGAGAACCCCGUCUUGACCUGGGCGUAGGAUCCAUGUGAAAUUCCUUCGACGAGUCGAGUUGUUUGGGAAUGCAGCUCUAAAUGGGUGGUAAAUUUCAUCUAAAGCUAAAUAUUGGCCAGAGACCGAUAGCGCACAAGUAGAGUGAUCGAAAGAUGAAAAGCACUUUGAAAAGAGAGUUAAACAGUAUGUGAAAUUGUUGAAAGGGAAGCGCUGGCAACCAGACUUGAGCGCGGCGGUUCCCCCUUGCUUCUGCUUGGGUUACUCCGUCGUGUCCAGGCCAACAUCGGUUCUAGGGGUCGGUUAAAGGCCCUGGGAAUGUAUCUACCCUCCGGGGUCGACUUAUAGCCCAGGGUGUCAUGCGGCCACCCGGGACCGAGGAACGCGCUUCGGCACGGAUGUUGGCGUAAUGGUUGUCAGCGGCCCGUCUUGAAACACGGACCAAGGAGUCUAACAUCUAUGCGAGUGUUUAGGGUGUCAAACCCUUACGCGGAAUGAAAGUGAACGGAGGUAAGAAGCUUCGGCUGCAUUAUCGACCGAUCCUGAAGUUUACGGAUGGAUUUGAGUAAGAGCAUAGCUGUUGGGACCCGAAAGAUGGUGAACUAUGCGUGAAUAGGGUGAAGCCAGAGGAAACUCUGGUGGAGGCUCGCAGCGGUUCUGACGUGCAAAUCGAUCGUCAAAUUUGCGUAUAGGGGCGA
rnacentral:rRNA from 1 species